UUGAGUUUGAAGAGUUAUUGUUGUGUUCAUUUUGGACAGCCAUGGAGUCAUGUAUUUGAUGAAAUAAUUGUGCAUAUAUUUGAUGAGAAAUGAUGUUGAUCAUGAUGAUUUAAUAACCUAGUGAAUUACUUCAUAUUUAUAUGGUGAUUUUUGGCACUUGGAUGAGAAUUGAUGAAUUGUAGGGCAAUUUGGUGUUGAAGAAGAUUUUCGGCAGCUUGGGGACACUUGAAUAAAUUUACCAAAGACUCAGGAAAAGGGAAGGAAACACUGAGUCCAGACCGAGAGACAGUCAUCAGAGGUAAGAAGAGCAUAGAGCAGUGAUUAAGUUGCUUUGAGGACACUUUCAGAUAAGCUCCAGGUAUAUCAUAGGUAUACCCAUGUACAUAGGUUUUGAUGUAUGUAUGUAAUAAUAUGUAUGUAAAUUAUUUGAGCAGUUGUAUAAAAACUCUUGUAAAAUAUUUUGGUAUGUAAUUAAAUGUAAAUUAUCGUGAA